ACUCAAAUGAAUAGACGGGGCCCCGCACAAGCGGUGGAGCAUGUUGUUUAAUACGUCACUAACCGUAGAACCUUACCAGGGUUUGACAUCCGUCGACAGCCCGUGAAAGCGGGUCUUCCCCGCAAGGGGACGGCGAGACAGGUGUUGCAUGGCUGUCGUCAGCUCGUGUCGUGAGAUGUUGGGUUAAGUCCCGCAACGAGCGCAACCCUCACGCGAUGUUGCCAGCGGAUAAUGCCGGGAACUCUUCGCGAACUGCCUGGGUAACCGGGAGGAAGGUGGGGACGACGUCAAGUCAGCAUGGCCCUUACAUCCUGGGCUACAAACAUGCUACAAUGGACGGUAUACAAAGGGAUCCAAAAUCGCGAGAUCGAGGCAAUCUCAAAAAUCCGUUCUCAGUUCGGAUCGCAGGCUGCAACUCGCCUGCGUGAAGUCGGAAUCGCUAGUAACCGCAGAUCAGCGAAGCUGCGGUGAAUACGUUCCCGGGGCUUGUACACACCGCCCGU
rnacentral:rRNA from 1 species